AUAGCUUCAACCUAGCAGCCCUUCCUUAGUUACCCUCCCCUUACCCUAGCAAUGGCUGACUAUAAGAAGCAGACCCCUACUUCCUCUAAGUGCAUCAAUAAUCCUCAGAGCUGGUUUGUGGAACAUCUAUGCUGUGAAAAAUAUCAGAAUGCACCAUGUAGUUCCUUCGCAUCAGUUUCACCCCGUGUUGAUACUGAAUGACGUAGUCACUUUAUGGAGGAAAUAAAGAUAUUGAUUCAUGAUGACACUA